UACGGAGGGUGCAAGCGUUAUCCGGAUUCACUGGGUUUAAAGGGUGCGUAGGUGGGCAAGUAAGUCAGUGGUGAAAUCUCCGGGCUUAACCCGGAAACUGCCAUUGAUACUAUUUGUCUUGAAUACUGUGGAGGUCAGCGGAAUAUGUCAUGUAGCGGUGAAAUGCUUAGAUAUGACAUAGAACACCAAUUGCGAAGGCAGCUGGCUACACAAAUAUUGACA
rnacentral:rRNA from 1 species